GUAACACGUAGGUAACCUGCCCAUGUGCCCGGGAUAACUUCUGGAAACGGAUGCUAAAACCGGAUAGGUAGCAGACAAGCAUUUGACUGCUAUUAAAGUGGCUAAGGCCAUGAACAUGGAUGGACCUGCGGUGCAUUAGCUAGUUGGUGAGGUAACGGCCCACCAAGGCGACGAUGCAUAGCCGGCCUGAGAGGGCGGACGGCCACAUUGGGACUGAGACACGGCCCAAACUCCUACGGGAGGAGCAUG
rnacentral:rRNA from 1 species